AAGACAGGCAGGGGCUACCCAGGCCUGUUAACAGGAGGGCCAUUCCCUCACAUCCUCUCUGCCAGCUCCUUGAUGUUGGCAUCACUAAUGUCUGGUGCCUGCUCAUCCCAUGACCUAGACUUAGAGCCCAUUCCCCUGAUUCUAGCAGUCAGGAUGACUAGUUGGAAAUAACAGCCACUUUAAGCUGGAAGGGAAUUUACUAAAAAAUAAUGAGGAUUAGAGGGUAUUCUCGGGAGGAAUAGAGAGCAAGGACUUAAUGACCAGCUAUAACAUGAGAACUUCUCUGCCUUCCAUGCCUGCAGAAGUCUGAGUCUCCUGUGCACAAUGCUCACUUCUAAAUUCAGGUCUUGCACAGGUGAGUCUGACUGGUGGAACCGAGGUCAGUAUCUGUGCCCUGGCUGCAAUGGUUUUCUGGCUUCUAUCUUGGCAAGAGAAGACUUAUGAGAAAUGACCAAAAUGUAAAAGUGGGUUUUCAAAGAUCUGGGUGGCCACAGAUGACAGAUAUCUGCCAUACUGGUCUAGUUCCCAGCACGCUGGACCCGCAGAGUGAUUUCAGGGAACAGAAUCAGAGGAAUCCACCCGAGGGCUUCUGGCCCAUUCAUGGGGAGCCCAGAGAACGGUGUGCUUUGCCUCCAAAUCUGGGUGGUGUGGCGGGAUGGCUCCUGCUCCUUCGGACCUAAGGGACAGGCUGUGGUGCUGCUGCAUGUGCAGACAAGUGUCCUAUGCUGCCAGCAUGCAGGGUGGGGACAUUCCUGUGAGACUGGACUGUGAGGAAGGGUGUGACAGUUGGCUACUGCUCUAAGCUGGCCUGUCGCUGGCUUCAGCCUUUGCUGUCACCUUUCCUGUCACCAUUUCAGUGUCUACAGGCUGUAAGCUAGAAGCUGACACAUACCCAGAGUGGCCAUCCUUUGUGCAUGCAAGGAGUGCUCUUUUGUCACAGAAAUGAAGACCCCAUCGGGAACACACUGUAGGGGACUGACAAUUACAGACUAGAGGAGCGGGGCUGGGAACACAAUGUCGAGGUGGAUUGAAGACCAGAGCCCCUGUGCAAUGCCGACCAGGAAAGGUUC
rnacentral:lncRNA from 1 species